AACGCACAUUGCGCCCGCCAGUAUUCUGGCGGGCAUGCCUGUUCGAGCGUCAUUUCAACCCCUCAAGCCCAGCUUGGUGUUGGGGCCCCUACGUGCGCCGUAGGCCCCGAAUCCCAGUGGCGGGCUCGCCGCGAUCCCGAGCGUAGUAGUGCUACCUCGCUCAGGGCGCGCGGCGGGCGCCGGCCGUGAAAGAAACCCCUACCCCCCACAAGGUUGACCUCGGAUCAGGUAGGAAUACCCGCUGAACUUAA
rnacentral:misc_RNA from 1 species